rnacentral:piRNA from 1 species
UUCUGCUUCUGACAGACAUCUGAGU